UGUUUUGCUGGCUUCGUCAAGAGGUCUGCUCCCCUUAAAUGCAUUAGCCGAUGCCCCGCGUGGAUCGUCUAUUGGUGUGAUAAUUAUCUACGCCGUGGACGUCUGCUUUCAAUGGGAUGCAUUGCUUCUAACCGUCCGUUUAGUUGGACAAUCAAUGACAAUUUGACCUCAAAUCAGGUAGGACUACCCGCUGAACUUAA
rnacentral:misc_RNA from 1 species